UACGUAGGGUGCAAGCGUUAAUCGGAAUUACUGGGCGUAAAGCGUGCGCAGGCGGUUUUGUAAGUCUGACGUGAAAUCCCCGGGCUCAACCUGGGAAUUGCGUUGGAGACUGCAAGGCUGGAGUCUGGCAGAGGGGGGUAGAAUUCCACGUGUAGCAGUGAAAUGCGUAGAGAUGUGGAGGAACACCGAUGGCGAAGGCAGCCCCCUGGGCUAACACUGACGCUCAUGCACGAAAGCGUGGGGAGCAAACAGG
rnacentral:rRNA from 1 species